rnacentral:lncRNA from 1 species
CACUGAUGUCCCCGAGGUGAGGGUGUGCACCAGGGACCUCAGUGACCUCAGGUAAGCCCAAAUGACCUCAAGUAGCCCCAGAUGUCCUCAGGCAUCCCCUGAGGUUCAGUAGCUGGAGCUCUCGAGGGGGAGCAGCGAUGCAGUGCCGGAGCAGCGCGCUCUCCCUCUGCCCCACGUCGGGAGUGGGACACACCUCGGGAGCAGGAUGAGCCCAGGUGAGGCUCAGAGCAAAGCUCUACGGCACUGUGGGCUGGUCAGGCACAGUGUGGAGGAAAGAAUGAGGGGAGGCCUUUUGUAUGGGUUUUGAAGAUGGCUUUAACCUCCAAAAGAGCCAGGAACAAAAGACAGAAGCUGUAGGCUACGCAGCAUCUUAUAUAUGGGGGAGGAGUAAGGGGAGGAUGCAAAUCAUGAACCAAUAGGGAAGCCUUAGGGGAGGAGUUUAAGGCAGAAUCUACAAUACAUAAACCAAUGGGAAAGCUUGGGGGGCAGGAACAGUUAACAAAAUCCAAUGGAAUGUCAAAUACAGUGUGAUUGACAGGGAGGGUUCUAGAACAAAGGGUUGGUGCUAAGUAAGACUGACGGGGAUAAAGAGGUGGGGUCACAAUGACUGACAGGGAAGGCGCUGGAAAAAGGGGUUGGGCUACAAUGAUUGAUGGCAGUAGGGGGAGGAUACAACUUGGAAGAAACCAAGAUCAGAAGGGGAAAACAGAACAAACCAUUUGUGCAACAAAUCUUACACUUACUAAAAGCACACCACCAGAGAGCAGCCUGCAGCACACCAGAACCAGGGUGUCAGGGGCAAGGACAAGAAGCAAUCUCUCUCACAGCUUCCCUCCCAGCCUGGUCCCACCUUCUUCUCCAGGAGUUGGCUCCUCAGCAGCAGGACCUGAGCAAGCCAGAGAACUCACCAGGCUCACGGUGGCCCUUGAGUUUUGCUGCACAGGUUCCUGAAGAAAAGCCAGCUGCAUUGGGACGUGAUUACAGUUCUGAAAGCAUCCAGGAACAAAUGGCUGGAAUUGGGAGCUAGAGAAUGUCCAGGUAGAAACCCACCACUGUAAGCAGAGUAAGAGAAACUCCAUCCUGGCUGUUUUGGGGGGUACAGAUUCAAAACAACUCCUAAAGGCAAAACCCCACUGGGCAUGAACAUAUAAGCUAGAAAAUAUCACUGAGGAUAAAUUUAAUUAGGCAACAUACAGAUCAAAAUGUUGAACAGUAUGGUCAUGGGUCCAGAGGCACAAUUAGCCAUUAACAUCCAGUCCAUCACCCUCCAAAU